rnacentral:tRNA from 1 species
GAGUCUAUGCGUGUCAGAUCAUGCCAUUCUGUCGCCUUUCACAGCGAUAACACGGGUUCGAAUCCCGUUAGCCCUACCA